rnacentral:rRNA from 1 species
GAUGAACGCUGGCGGCGUGCCUAAUACAUGCAAGUCGAGCGAACAGACGAGGAGCUUGCUCCUCUGACGUUAGCGGCGGACGGGCGAGUAACACGUGGAUAACCUACCUAUAAGACUGGGAUAACUUCGGGAAACCAGAGCUAAUACCGGAUAAUAUAUUGAACCGCAUGGUUCAAUAGUGAAAGACGGUUUUGCUGUCACUUAUAGAUGGAUCCGCGCCGGAUUAGCUAGUUGGUAAGGUAACGGCUUACCAAGGCAACGAUGCGUAGCCGACCUGAGAGGGUGAUCGGCCACACUGGAACUGAGACACGGUCCAGACUCCUACGGGAGGCAGCAGUGGGGAAUCUUCCGCAAUGGGCGAAAGCCUGACGGAGCAACGCCGCGUGAGUGAUGAAGGUCUUCGGGUCGUAAAGCUCUGUUAUUAGGGAAGAACAAAUGUGUAAGUAACUAUGCACGUCUUGACGGUACCUAAACAGAAAGCCACGGCUAACUACGUG